rnacentral:tRNA from 1 species
UCCCUGGUGGUCCAGUGGCUAGGACUCCGGGCUCCUAAUGCAGGGGACCCAGGUUCGAUCCCUGGCCAGGGAA